CAGCCGCCGCGGUAAUACGUAGGGGGCGAGCGUUGUCCGGAAUUAUUGGGCGUAAAGCGCGCGCAGGCGGUCCUUUAAGUCUGAUGUGAAAGCCCACGGCUCAACCGUGGAGGGUCAUUGGAAACUGGGGGACUUGAGUGCAGGAGAGGAGAGCGGAAUUCCACGUGUAGCGGUGAAAUGCGUAGAGAUGUGGAGGAACACCAGUGGCGAAGGCGGCUCUCUGGCCUGUAACUGACGCUGAGGCGCGAAAGCGUGGGGAGCAAACAGGAUUAGAUACCCUGGUAGUCCACGCCGUAAACGAUGAGUGCUAAGUGUUAGAGGGGUCACACCCUUUAGUGCUGUAGCUAACGCGAUAAGCACUCCGCCUGGGGAGUACGGCCGCAAGGCUGAAACUUAAAGGAAUGGCGGG
rnacentral:rRNA from 1 species